ACGAACGCUGGCGGCAUGCCUAACACAUGCCAGUCGAACGAGACCUUCGGGUCUAGUGGCGCACGGGUGCGUAACGCGUGGGAAUCUGCCCUUGGGUUCGGAAUAACAGUUGGAAACGACUGCUAAUACCGGAUGAUGACGUAAGUCCAAAGAUUUAUCGCCCAAGGAUGAGCCCGCGUAGGAUUAGCUAGUUGGUGAGGUAAAGGCUCACCAAGGCGACGAUCCUUAGCUGGUCUGAGAGGAUGAUCAGCCACACUGGGACUGAGACACGGCCCAGACUCCUACGGGAGGCAGCAGUGGGGAAUAUUGGACAAUGGGCGAAAGCCUGAUCCAGCAAUGCCGCGUGAGUGAUGAAGGCCUUAGGGUUGUAAAGCUCUUUUAACCGGGAUGAUAAUGACAGUACCGGGAGAAUAAGCUCCGGCUAACUCCGUG
rnacentral:rRNA from 1 species